UUCCGACGAUACAAUCCGAUCAAACCAGAAUUACUCUAGCUGUCACCAGCCGUCAUGUGGAAACCGGGAAGGCCCCUCCUUUCGGUAACUAGUCCUCUCCGCUCGGUCCGAACUCACACGGAGCAUGGCUUGAAGAGAUAUAGUCCAGUCAUUCAGAGAGAAAACGAAAGCGAUGAGAUCCACCACGGAAGUUUAACUCCCAUGGACUAUGAGCGUUUUAAUGACUGAUAAGAGGAAAGCAUUCGAGUCAUAAACAAAUGACCAUCAGUUUGAUUCACGUUGAAAAUCAAUAGGAAUUGGGAAAACAUGGAUUUCCAUCUGUCCAUUUUGGUACGAGUUUGCAGUGACGGCUUCGGUCUGAAUGUGAAUAUGGCUCAAAAAUGACCAAUGGGUUACCCAUGUGCAUUUUUGUAUCCGCAGCAUCAUCUUGGUACUUCUGUUUUGAUGCUUAUUAUUCUACCUCUUGCGUUUUCCUGCGAAAGUGGCCACACAAAAAAUCAUAUCACCGAGGAUUACCGCCAUAUAAUUGAGAAACAGUUGAAGCACGUUGUGGCCAGUAUUGAACAACUAAAUUCAAACUGCACAAUAAGAAAUGUCUGGAAGUCGAAGGAGCCAAGAAAUGGACAUAACAUCCACAGAAGAAUCUGCAGGGUUAACGGAAAACUGAGGAGAUUUGGGAGCGAAUCAGAUCAUGUAAAUGGACAGCUGAAACAUGAUUUAUAUAAACUUGUGGAAGAAAUAAAUGGGUCCUUGAGAUGUUGGUGCCAUCGAAAGAGAGAGGUGCCGACACAACAAAUACGAAAGUGGAAGUUUUGCAAAGUGAAAGACAUUCUUGCCAACUUACAGAGACACUUUGAACAAUACAAUGCUUACCACUCACUCAGCAAAGACUCUUCAGAGCGUGGGAAGACUUCAGAGCAAACCGGUAUAUAAUACUUGGCCUCCAAAUUCAUCUCGUAGCUCUAUUGCAACAAUUGAAUAUACACAAUAUGAAGAACUGGAUGCACCAUGUACCAUUCACACUAUUCAGUAUUUGACUGAAGAAGAAAAAAAAAGCCAUUUAAUACCAUUUUUAUGGGAAAAGAAUAUGCUAAGCAUAAACAUGAACAUACGACUGUGCGUGAAAAUGCUUUAAAACUUGGACAUUGCUUUUUUUAUGACCAGGAUUGUUAUAUUUGCCACAGAUUGCUGAAUGUGUACAGAGGAUGCUGCGAAUUAAACUUGCAGUGUUUAAUUGCACAUGUAAAUAAGCAAAUAUUAAUUCUCUAGGCCUCAAGUUACAGACUUUAUGGUCUUCUUGGGGAAGUGACCCUAUUCAGCCCACCCAACUCCAAAUCUUUUAUGCUUUCUCACAGCCUUCCAAAAAAGUCAAAUAUUAAUUUAUCAUAGAAACACUUGUGGUUUCUCAUAAACUGACCAAAUUAAAUUAUUUAAUUGCAAACAAAGAAAUGUCUGGAAUGGGCUUAUAAGGUACAUGUGUAUCAUAUAAGCCCAACAGUAUAUUCCAAAAAUACCCACUAUGGUUUUUGAUGUAAACUCAUUGCACUUUAUUAAACAGUUUAGCUAUUAAAGGGUAACUAAAC